AUUGAACGCUGGCGGCAGGCUUAACACAUGCAAGUCGAGCGAGCGGCGGACGGGUGAGUAAUGUAUGGGAAACUGCCUGAUGGAGGGGGAUAACUACUGGAAACGGUAGCUAAUACCGCAUACAAUCAGAUGUGCCCAGAUGGGCUGAGCUAGUAGGUGGGGUAAUGGCUCACCUAGGAGACGAUCCCUAGCUGGUCUGAGAGGAUGAUGAGCCACACUGGAACUGAGAAAAGGCCCAGGGUCCUACGGGAGGCAGCAUGGGGGAAUAUUGGAAAAUGGGGGAAAGCCUGAUGCAGCCAUGACGCGUGUAUGAAGAAGGCCUUCGGGUGGUAAAGCACUUUAAGCGGGGAGGCGUUACGAGCAGAAGAAGCACCGGCUAACUCCGUGCCAGCAGCCGCGGUAAUAC
rnacentral:rRNA from 1 species